rnacentral:rRNA from 1 species
AACGAACGCUGGCGGCAUGCCUAACACAUGCAAGUCGAACGAGACCUUCGGGUCUAGUUGCGCACGGGUGCGUAACGCGUGGGAAUCUGCCCUUGGGUUCGGAAUAACAGUUGGAAACGACUGCUAAUACCGGAUGAUGACGUAAGUCCAAAGAUUUAUCGCCCAAGGAUGAGCCCGCGUAGGAUUAGCUAGUUGGUGAGGUAAAGGCUCACCAAGGCGACGAUCCUUAGCUGGUCUGAGAGGAUGACCAGCCACACUGGGACUGAGACACGGCGCAGACUCCUACGGGAGGAAGCAGGGGGGAAUAUUGGACACUGGGCGAAAGACUGAUCCAGCAAUGCCGCGUGAGUGAUGAAGGACUUAGGGUUGUAAAGCUCUUUUACCCGGGAUGAUAAUGACAGUACCGGGAGAAUAAGCGCCGGCUAACUCCGUG